CUACCCCAAAAUAGGAGCCCAACCUGAUCGGGGAGCGGGCGGAGCACCGGCAAUAGCAAUUGAAGGCUGCAUUCAGAUUGCUUCAGUAGGCCACUGAGGACCCUAUGGAAGAGAACCCCCAAUAGUAAGGACUGCAGGCCCUAUUGGGAGCAAUCGUGCGGUCGAUGGCCAUCCCUCUUGAAAACACAUGCUCCGUAGAAACACCAUGAAAGACUAUCAUUGAAGCCACACUCGCUCUGAAUAUGGCACUGGAGUAAUCCCUCAAGGCCAUAGAUCCGCACUUCCUCCAGGCA
rnacentral:lncRNA from 1 species